rnacentral:lncRNA from 1 species
ACGUUCACAGCUCGACUACAACCAUCCAAGGAUGCUGCGCCUUAGCAACUGAUAAAUCACCUCCAAUAGUCACCGCGAUCUUUUGGAGCACGAUCAACCAAACCACUAGGGUAAUUCCUGCAAGCAAUCGAGAAACAAGCAAGAACAAGUAGAACAAGCAACUCAAUUGUAAAUAUGAAGAUAAAAACCAAUCUGAACUCACAAAGUUGGGGUUCUGAAUUGAGUAGAAC